UACGUAGGGUGCGAGCGUUAAUCGGAUUUACUGGGCGUAAAGCGUGCGCAGGCGGCCCGUUAAGACAGGUGUGAAAUCCCUGGGCUCAACCUAGGAAUUGCGCUUGUGACUGGCGGGCUCGAGUACGGUAGAGGGGGGUGGAAUUCCUGGUGUAGCAGUGAAAUGCGUAGAUAUCAGGAGGAACACCGAUGGCGAAGGCAGCCCCCUGGGCCUGUACUGACGCUCAUGCGCGAAAGCGUGGGGAGCAAACAGG
rnacentral:rRNA from 1 species